rnacentral:rRNA from 1 species
UACGAAGGGGGCUAGCGUUGCUCGGAAUUACUGGGCGUAAAGCGCACGUAGGCGGCUUUCUAAGUCAGGGGUGAAAUCCUGGAGCUCAACUCCAGAACUGCCUUUGAUACUGAAGAUCUUGAGUCCGGGAGAGGUGAGUGGAAUUGCGAGUGUAGAGGUGAAAUUCGUAGAUAUUCGCAAGAACACCAGUGGCGAAGGCGGCUCACUGGCCCGGUACUGACGCUGAGGCACGAAAGCGUGGGGAGCAAACAGG